rnacentral:rRNA from 1 species
CCUACGGGGGGCAGCAGUGAGGAAUAUUGGUCAAUGGGCGAGAGCCUGAACCAGCCAAGUAGCGUGAAGGAUGACUGCCCUAUGGGUUGUAAACUUCUUUUAUAUGGGAAUAAAGUGUAGCACGUAUACGGUUUUGUAUGUACCUUAUGAAUAAGGAUCGGCUAACUCCGUGCCAGCAGCCGCGGUAAUACGGAGGAUCCGAGCGUUAUCCGGAUUUAUUGGGUUUAAAGGGAGCGUAGGUGGGUUGGUAAGUCAGUUGUGAAAGUUUGCGGCUCAACCGUAAAAUUGCAGUUGAUACUGGCAGCCUUGAGUACAGUAGAGGUGGGCGGAAUUCGUGGUGUAGCGGUGAAAUGCUUAGAUAUCACGAAGAACUCCGAUUGCGAAGGCAGCCUACUGGACUGCAACUGACGCUGAGGCUCGAAAGUGUGGGUAUCAAACAGGAUUAGAUACCCUUGUAGUC